rnacentral:rRNA from 1 species
GAGGAAUAUUGGUCAAUGGACGUAAGUCUGAACCAGCCAAGUAGCGUGCAGGAUUGACGGCCCUAUGGGUUGUAAACUGCUUUUGUUGGGGAGUAAAGUGGGGCACGCGUGCCUUUUUGCAUUUACCCUUCGAAUAAGGACCGGCUAAUUCCGUGCCAGCAGCCGCGGUAAUACGGAAGGUCCAGGCGUUAUCCGGAUUUAUUGGGUUUAAAGGGAGUGUAGGCGGUCUGUUAAGCGUGUUGUGAAAUUUAGGUGCUCAACAUCUACCUUGCAGCGCGAACUGGCGGACUUGAGUGCACGCAACGUAUGCGGAAUUCAUGGUGUAGCGGUGAAAUGCUUAGAUAUCAUGACGAACUCCGAUUGCGAAGGCAGCGUACGGGAGUGUUACUGACGCUUAAGCUCGAAGGUGCGGGUAUCGAACAGGAUUAGAUACCCUGGUAGUCCGCACGGUAAACGAUGGAUGCCCGCUGUUAGCGCCUGGCGUUAGCGGCUAAGCGAAAGCAUUAAGCAUCCCACCUGGGGAGUACGCCGGCAACGGUG